rnacentral:rRNA from 1 species
AUUGAACGCUGGCGGAAUGCUUUACACAUGCAAGUCGAGCGGCAGCGCGGGGCAACCUGGCGGCGAGCGGCGAACGGGUGAGUAAUGCAUCGGAACAUGUCCAUGUCGUGGGGGAUAGCCCGGCGAAAGCCGGAUUAAUACCGCAUACGCCCGAGAGGGGAAAGUGGGGGACCGCAAGGCCUCACGCGAUUGGGUUGGCCGAUGUCCGAUUAGCUAGUUGGCGGGGUAAGAGCCCACCAAGGCGAUGAUCGGUAGCUGGUCUGAGAGGAUGAUCAGCCACACUGGGACUGAGAGACGGCCCAGACUCCUACGGGAGGCAGCAGUGGGGAAUCUUGCGCAAUAGCCGAAAGGCUGACGCAGCGACGCCGCGUGGGGGAGGAAGG